GUAUGUAAUGUACUCUUCCUUCGGGACAGAAGUGACAGGUGGUGCAUGGUUGUCGUCAGCUCGUGUCGUGAGAUGUUGGGUUAAGUCCCGCAACGAGCGCAACCCUUGUUCUUAGUAGCCAGCAUUUCGGAUGGGCACUCUAGGGAGACUGCCCGGGUUAACCGGGAGGAAGGUGGGGACGACGUCAAAUCAUCAUGCCCCUUAUGACUUGGGCUACACACGUGCUACAAUGGCGUAAACAAAGGGACGCGAAGUCGUGAGGCCUAGCAAAUCUCAAAAAUAACGUCUCAGUUCGGAUUGUAGUCUGCAACUCGACUACAUGAAGCUGGAAUCGCUAGUAAUCGUGGAUCAGAAUGCCACGGUGAAUACGUUCCCGGGUCUUGUACACACC
rnacentral:rRNA from 1 species